CCGGAUAACAUAUAGAACCGCAUGGUUCUAUAGUGAAAGAUGGUUUUGCUAUCACUUAUAGAUGGACCCGCGCCGUAUUAGCUAGUUGGUAAGGUAAUGCUUACCAAGGCGACGAUACGUAGCCGACCUGAGAGGGUGAUCGGCCACACUGGAACUGAGACACGGUCCAG
rnacentral:rRNA from 1 species